rnacentral:rRNA from 1 species
UACAGAGGGUGCUAGCGUUGUUCGGAAUCAUUGGGCGUAAAGGGCGUGUAGGCGGUCAAGUAAGUGGAAUGUGAAAGCCCCCGGCUUACCCGGGGAUCUGCAUCCCAAACUGCUUGGCUUGAGUACGGGAGAGGAUAGGGGAAUUCCUGGUGUAGCGGUGAAAUGCGCAGAUAUCAGGAGGAACACCGGUGGCGAAGGCGGGACUCUGGGCCGAUACUGACGCUGAGGAGCGAAAGCGUGGGGAGCGAACAGG